rnacentral:misc_RNA from 1 species
GUUAAAUACUCCUACGUGCGACGGUCGUGCUAAAGACACCCGCUAAAUACAUAAAAUUGAAAUUAACCAAAAAUCCAAACACAAAAAUAAUGUAAAAAUGCUAAACACAAAAUAAUUAAAAAUGUCAAAUAUAAAAUCACCAGAUAAUACUGAUAUUCGUGAGAUAUUCUAUUCCAACUUGCUUUUAUUAGGAUUCGAUGCAGAAACGUAUGAAGUUCAAUAUAGAAUCCCAUUUAAUAGAGAUAUGUUUUCUUUGCCUAAUCGAAAGUGUAUGGAAGUGGUUGUUUACUUUUUGUUUAAAAAGUUAAAUAAAGAAUCAACACUGGAGAUUUUUAGACAUUCUGAACUCCAUCUGAUGAGACAAGGUUGUAUUUUUACUCAUCUGACCGCAAGUUUUUUCCAAUAUCAGUCGUGGACAGGAAAGGCGUGUGAUUGCACUCCAAUCUUGACCAGGAAUUGUUGGCCGAUUAUUGACAAAAAAUCAGAACAAGAAUUUCGUAAACAGACAAUAGAUUGGAUUACUAGAAUCAAAAAGGAUGAUCCAGAAUGUAAUUUGCCUAAUAUAACUCCUUCUUUGCUUAUAACUCCUUCAGGAGAGAAGUUUUAUCAGUUCUUGUUUUAUUUUUCGGUAUAUACUCUGAAGCAAAAAGCAAAAGCUAUAUCAAAAAAAGAUGACUUACUUCCUUUAUGGGUUAAUCUCUCAAAUGUGAAAAAAAAAUUUUCUUUGCAAAUUCAAAAGUCAUUGAUGUCUGUGGUUAUUAAUAGAAAAAAAAGGUUGAUUAAUUAUGUAAUGGAAACUUUCUCUGCAAAAAAUAUUUGGAUGGAAUAUGCUAGAGAUUUAAAUAAAGAACACAACAAACUUCUUAAAGAAAUAGGAGAGUGCGAAGAAAGCAUGAAAGUUGUAAAGUCUAAAAUGGUUGAGUUAUUUAAAACAAGUUCGUUUUCAUUAAAAGAUACAGCAAGAAAUGAAAGUUUAGAACAGGUAAAAAAUAUAUGGGAAACUAUAAGUAAACAUUUUGAGAUGCAAAAAAAAAUUCAAGAACAAAUUAGAAAGACUUUAUAUGCUGCUUCGUUGUCUUUGGAAGGCGAUAAGAUCAAUUUUGAGAUACCAGCCAUUCUUGUUAAUGAUUGUGAAAGAAUGCUCCACUAUGGAAAACGUUUUCAAAAUGUUUAUAAGGAAAGACAAUUAAAUAUACUAAGUUUGAUAGAAUUGUGGAAUCUAUUACUUCAAAGAGUUAGAACAACAUUAAGUCAAAAUCCCUUGUAUUGUGCAGUUCAUGAAGAAUCAUAUGUUUGUAAUGAAGUAAACAAACAUUCAAAUUACUUGUGCUAUCUUGAAUCUAUAAGACUUCGACUUGCUUCUAACAUUAUUCCUGACAUCCAAAAGUCAAUCAAAGAUUUAAAAAAAUCUUUAAGUGAUAUGUCUUCAUAUCAAGAAUCUUAUAAAUAUAUUCUUGAUUUAUUACCAACUACACCAGCAUUUCAUUUUAAUUUCAAUGAUGAUAAUGAUGAUACUAAAAAGUUAUUUAAAGAUGAGUAUACUGCUACCCCAUCUGCUACAUGCACACCAUAUGCUGUUGAUGACUUGCUCUGUAAAUUAAAUGAUAAUAGUCAAGAUCAAACACCCGUUCGACAACUAAAAUCAAUUCAAAAAAAGUAUCCUUAUUUACUUUCAUCACCAACAGCAAAAUCAACAAAUUUAAAAUUGGAUUGUCCAGCUAAGAUAGGUAAUGUUAAAAAGACUCAAAUGUUGAAUCCUCAAGCUAAUAAUAAAUCAUCUCGCAUUCCUCGUUAUAAUCUAUCAAACUGUAAUGUUAAAAAUACAAAGGAUGUAGAUUGCAUUAGCAAUAUAAAGAGAAAGUCUUCAGUACAUGAUAUAGAAAAUAAAAGCAAAGCACAGGAGAUUCUUCUUGAACAGAUAGCACAGUCUGUUUUGAAUGUUAAUAAAGAAAAUGUUGGAAGCAGUUCUGAUGAGGAAAUAGAAAGUAGUAUACAUGGACUUUAUAAUCCUUUUGAAGCAUUUUCAAAAAAUCCUUUUAUUAACAAUGAAAAAUGUAUUCGUACUCCAGGCCCAAAAUGCAGGCAAAGCUUGACUUGUAUAGGCUUAUCGAAUUUAUCUUUGCUUGAUACUGCAAACUCUCUGAAUGAAAAUACUGAUAACAACGAUUGCUCAAGCUUUUUUGCAUUAAGUCCAAUUCACGACUUUCAAACUUCGUAUUCACCAUUUGAAACUUCAAAUAUUCAAUUAUCAAAGAUACCUUCAGAUGACUAUAGUUUACUUACACCAUUUUGCAAUUUAGAAAAGUCUAAUGUUCCUCAAAGGUCACCUUCUUCUACCGUAAGUACAUCUCAAAGGUUGCUACAGGAUAAAGAAAAUCAAAAGAGCUUAAAUAAAACAUUUAUGAAGUCUAUAGAAGAGCUUUCAAAUUCAUUAAAAUUUGAUGAAGGUGAAAAUUUCUCAUACUUUGAGCAGAACACUUACAAAAGAAAUUUCGUUAAAAAUAACUUUCCAGAGUUUACUCCUGAACAAAUUGAUGCAAAAAGAAAUUUCGUUAAAAAUAACUUUCCAGAGUUUCCUGAACAAAUUGAUGCAAAAAAUCUGAUCAGUUUUUUUACUCCAGAAAAACAUUUAGGUGUUACUAAUGAUGACGUGGACAAUUUCAUUGAAGAAGUUUUAUCUAAUACACCAGGUUAUCUUAUGAAAACACCUUACACCAUCCAAAAUAACUUUCACCUACUAACACCUGAGGCAGUUCAUCCAAAGUCAGUUAGCAUUUAUAAUGCACACAAAAAUUCAUAGUAUUGAUAGAAAAGCGAUUUGAAUAAUGCUGGUCUUUACAGGAUAGGUAUCCUUGCAAAACUGUUUUGUCGUAGAAUUGGUGAUCAACUAACUGCGAUUUCAACUACUAGAAAACAACAAUUAAAUAAGCUUCAGUGAUUAAAACUGCAUUUGAUUAAUGAACUCUAUGAAAGCAAUUUUCGUAAAUGAAAAAAAAAUUUGCUGAAUGAAAAGCAUUUAGUAAACUUGCAUUUGUGUAUUCAGCUUUUUUGGUGAAGUUUUGUUUUGAAAACGAUGAAAAGCGUUAAAAGGAAGCUAAAACUAUUAGUUUGAGAGUUCUAUUAUUUUAAUUACAUAUUUACUAUGA